rnacentral:rRNA from 1 species
AGAGUUUGAUCAUGGCUCAGGAUGAACGCUAGCGACAGGCCUAACACAUGCAAGUCGAGGGGCAUCGGGACGUAGCAAUACGUUGCCGGCGACCGGCGGAUGGGUGAGUAACGCGUAUGCAACCUACCCGUAGCAGGGGGAUAGCCCGUUGAAAGACGGAUUAAUACCCCGUAACACAGGGGCUCCGCAUGGAGAUUAUUGUUAAAGGGUCAUUUCUUUUAGAGGUGGUCCGGCUACGGAUGGGCAUGCGUUCCAUUAGGUAGUUGGUGUAGGUAACGGCUCACCAAGCCGACGAUGGAUAGGGGAACUGAGAGGUUGGUCCCCCACACUGGUACUGAGACACGGACCAGACUCCUACGGGAGGCAGCAGUGAGGAAUCUUGGUCAAUGGACGCAAGUCUGAACCAGCCAUGUCGCGUGAAGGAGGACGGCCCUAAGGGUUGUAAACUUCUUUUGCAGUGGAAUAAAGUUUGCCACGAGUUGGCGAUUUGCAAGUACGCUGCGAAUAAGGAUCGGCUAACUCCGUGCCAGCAGCCGCGGUAAUACGGAGGAUCCGGGCGUUAUCCGGAUUUAUUGGGUUUAAAGGGUGCGCAGGCGGGGAAUUAGGUCGGCGGUGAAAUUUCGGGGCUCAACCUCGACAGUGCCGUUGAAACCGUUUCUCUUGAGUGCGGAUGAGGUAGGCGGAAUUUGUGGUGUAGCGGUGAAAUGCGUAGAUAUCACAAGGAACACCGAUUGCGGAGGCAGCUUACUAAACCGUUACUGACGCUCAUGCACGAANGCGUGGGGAUCAAACAGGAUUAGAUACCCUGGUAGUCCACGCAGUAAACGAUGAUUACUUGCUGUUUGCGAUACACAGUAAGCGGCGCAGCGAAAGCGUUAAGUAAUCCACCUGGGGAGUACGUUCGCAGAUGAACUCAAGGAAUUGACGGGGCCGCA